CCCACCCACACACAGACCAGCAACUACCCGGGCAGCAGGCUGCAGAAUGAUAUUGCAGCCAGGAACUCAACACAGGAGAGAUGGCGAGCAGUGUUUUGUUCACGUCUCUGCCAUGGGGACAGGAAAAUGCUGGUGUGUGGAUUUCAUUUGCUUAGGACAAGGAUAUCUGUGUUCCUGUGACGACUUCCGUUUUCCGUCUGACCGCGGGGGAAUACUGGAAAUGCGGCCCAAGUUACAUUUACAGAAAUGCGGUCCAAAGACCGGAAGUGGACCAAGGAAGUAACGGCGGGAUCCUUAGAAACAAGGAAACACUUUACUGGACUCACAAGGAUUGGAAAAACUACCUUGUAGGGACUUUUUUCACAUUCCUGCGCUCCGUAUCUGCUUUUGUGUUGUCAUAAUGAAGAAUAUGGCAAUUAACUGAAAACGGAUUUUAUUUAUGUUUAAAUGCAAAUGUUUUCAGACACCAUCCUCUGUGUUUAGUUUUAUAUUAUUGUAAUACUGACUGCCACAUGAUGAUACCUUUUUAGAAGCUAGGAAAACCUGUUUUUAGUCCAUUAAUUGGGUGUCCUGUACCACAUGACCCAUUUUUGGUAUAAAUAUGUCAGAUUGGCACAACUCCUACACACCUUGACAAAAGGAUCUGUCCGAAACGCGUUGGUGGAGGAGACGGCCUGCUAUUACCCCUGAGAACCUUAGUGGGAACCCACUGAAAGGGAGAGGUGGUAUAUCCGGAUAUUCCAUGUUACACCCUCAUGCCUAAAAGUGUACCUUUCUCACCUGUGGUACACAGUAAUUCUUACCAUCUUGUGCUGUUUUUAUUAUGAGAUUUUACUACAUACAGAUGGGUCCACGGUUAUCUUGACUAGUUUUCUGCGCCUAGUCACAGCAUGAUUUAUUAGCAUAAACCCUUCAUCUAUUGUUCUCAGCUGCAAUACAAUACAGAGAACAAUACAGCAGGGGAUUAAGUCAUUACAGCAGGGGAUUAAGUCCGACUGCCCUGGCUCAGUUAAUCCUAUUAAAGGUCAAGAUAAAU